UACGAAGGGGGCUAGCGUUGCUCGGAAUCACUGGGCGUAAAGCGCACGUAGGCGGCUUUCUAAGUCAGGGGUGAAAUCCUGGAGCUCAACUCCAGAACUGCCUUUGAUACUGGAGAGCUUGAGUCCGGAAGAGGUGAGUGGAACUCCGAGUGUAGAGGUGAAAUGCGUAGAUAUCUGGAGGAACACCGGUGGCGAAGGCGGCAUCCUGGACCGGUAUUGACGCUGAGGCGCGAAAGCCAGGGGAGCAAACGGG
rnacentral:rRNA from 1 species